rnacentral:rRNA from 1 species
UACAGAGGAUGCAAGCGUUAUCCGGAUUAAUUGGGCGUAAAGCGUCUGUAGGUGGUUCUUCAAGUCUUGUGCUAAAAAUUAGAGCUUAACUUUGAUUUGACAUGAGAAACUGGAGUGCUUGAAUUAGGUAGAAGUAGUUGGAAUUCUCGAUGUAGUGGUGAAAUACGUAGAGUUCGCGAAGAAUACCGGUUGCGGAGGCGUACUACUGGACUGUGAUUGACACUAAGAGACGAAAGCUAGGGUAGCAAAUGGG